rnacentral:rRNA from 1 species
GUGGCGUAAGGGCGAGUAACGCGUGGGUAAUCUACCUCUAAGUUGGGGAUAACCCGGCGAAAGCUGGGCUAACACCGAAUGUGGUCAUCCCCCGAUGGGGGAAGGAUCAAAGGCGGGGAUUCUUCGGAACCUGCCGCUUGGAGAGGAGCCUGCGUGCCAUCAGCUUGUUGGUAGGGUAACGGCCUACCAAGGCUAACGGCUAGCUGGUCUGAGAGGACGACCAGCCGCACUGGGACUGAGACACUGCCCAGACUCCUACGGGAGGCUGCAGUCGAGGAUCUUGGACAAUGGGGGAAACCCUGAUCCAGCGACGCUGCGUGGAGGAUGAAGGCCUUCGGGUUGUAAACUCCUGUCAUUCGGGAAAAAUGACUCAGGGGAUAAUACCCCCUGGGAAUGAUGGUACCGGAAGAGGAAGCCACGGCUAACUCUGUGCCAGCAGCCGCGGUAAUACAGAGGUGGCAAGCGUUGUUCGGAUUUACUGGGCGUAAAGGGUGCGUAGGUGGUUGUCUGUGUCGAGUGUGAAAUCCCAAGGCUCAACCUUGGAAUGGCGCUCGAAACUGGACGACUAGAGUACAGGAGGGGAGAGCGGAAUUCUUGGUGUAGCGGUGAAAUGCGUUGAUAUCAAGAAGAACACCGGUGGCGAAGGCGGCUCUCUGGAAUGUUACUGACACUGAGGCACGAAAGCUGGGGGAGCAAACAGGAUUAGAUACCCUGGUAGUCCCAGCUGUAAACGGUGCGCACUUGGUGUGGGGGGAAUUGACCCCCUCCGUGCCGGAGCUAACGCGUUAAGUGCGCCGCCUGGGGAGUACGGUCGCAAGACUAAAACUCAAAGAAAUUGACGGGGGCCCGCACAAGCGGAGGAGCAUGUGGCUCAAUUCGAUGCAACGCGAAGAACCUUACCAGGGCUUGACAUGCAGCUGCACGUCCCGUGAAAGCGGGAUUCCUUCGAGGGUGCUGCACAGGUGCUGCAUGGCUGUCGUCAGUUCGUGCCGUGAGGUGUUGGGUUAAGUCCCGCAACGAACGCAACCCCUGUGUUUAGUUGCUACCGGGUCAUGCCGGGCACUCUAAACAGACUGCCUGUAUAAAACAGGAGGAAGGUGGGGACGACGUCAAGUCAGUAUGGCCCUUACGCCCUGGGCUGCACACGUGCUACAAUGGCCGGUACAGAGGGAUGCAAGACCGCGAGGUGGAGCAAAUCCCCAAAACCGGCCCCAGUUCGGAUUGAAGGCUGAAACUCGCCUUCAUGAAGUUGGAUUCGCUAGUAAUGGCGCAUCAGCUACGGCGCCGUGAAUACGUUCCCGGGCCUUGUACACACCGCCCGUCACAUCAUGAAAGCCGUCUGCACCCGAAGUCGCUGAUUCAACCCGCAAGGGGGAUAGGUGCCUAAGGUGUGGGUGGUGAUUGGGAUGAAGUCGUAACAAGGUA